CGUUCCCGGGCCUUGUACACACCGCCCGUCACGUCACGAAAGUUGGUAACACCCGAAGCCGAUGGCCUAACCCACUUGUGGGGGGGGAGUCGUCGAAGGUGGGACUGGCGAUUGGGACG
rnacentral:rRNA from 1 species